UGCCAUUUCUAGAGGAAGCUUUUGCUUUUGU
rnacentral:piRNA from 1 species